rnacentral:rRNA from 1 species
AGUGAACGCUGGCGGUAGGCCUAACACAUGCAAGUCGAACGGCAGCACAGUAAGAGCUUGCUCUUACGGGUGGCGAGUGGCGGACGGGUGAGGAAUACAUCGGAAUCUACUUUUUCGUGGGGGAUAACGUAGGGAAACUUACGCUAAUACCGCAUACGACCUACGGGUGAAAGCAGGGGAUCUUCGGACCUUGCGCGAUUGAAUGAGCCGAUGUCGGAUUAGCUAGUUGGCGGGGUAAAGGCCCACCAAGGCGACGAUCCGUAGCUGGUCUGAGAGGAUGAUCAGCCACACUGGGACUGAGACACGGUCCAGACUCCUACGGGAGGCAGCAGUGGGGAAUAUUGGACAAUGGGAGCAAGCCUGAUCCAGCCAUACCGCGUGGGUGAAGAAGGCCUUCGGGUUGUAAAGCCCUUUUGUUGGGAAAGAAAAGCAGCAGGUUAAUACCCCGCUGUUCUGACGGUACCCAAAGAAUAAGCACCGGCUAACUUCGUG